rnacentral:rRNA from 1 species
AACGAACGCUGGCGGCAGGCCUAACACAUGCAAGUCGAGCGCCCCGCAAGGGGAGCGGCGGACGGGUGAGUAACGCGUGGGAAUGUGCCCCAAGGUACGGAAUAGCCCCGGGAAACUGGGGGUAAUACCGUAUGUGCCCUACGGGGGAAAGAUUUAUCGCCUUGGGAUCGGCCCGCGUUGGAUUAGGUAGUUGGUGGGGUAAUGGCCUACCAAGCCGACGAUCCAUAGCUGGUUUGAGAGGAUGAUCAGCCACACUGGGACUGAGACACGGCCCAGACUCCUACGGGAGGCAGCAGUGGGGAAUCUUAGACAAUGGGCGCAAGCCUGAUCUAGCCAUGCCGCGUGAGCGAUGAAGGCCUUAGGGUUGUAAAGCUCUUUCAGGGGGGAAGAUAAUGACUGUACCCCCAGAAGAAGCCCCGGCUAACUCCGUG